GUGCCAGCCGCCGCGGUAAUACCGGCAGCUCAAGUGAUGGCCGAUCUUAUUGGGCCUAAAGCGUCCGUAGCUGGCCUCGAAAGUCCGUCGGGAAAUCCACGCGCCCAACGCGUGGGCGUCCGGCGGAAACUCCGAGGCUUGGGACCGGAAGGCUCGAGGGGUACGUCCGGGGUAGGAGUGAAAUCCCGUAAUCCCGGACGGACCACCGAUGGCGAAAGCACCUUGAAAGCACGGAUCCGACAGUGAGGAACGAAAGCUGGGGUCUCGAACCGGAUUAGAAACCCUGGAGUCC
rnacentral:rRNA from 1 species